rnacentral:rRNA from 1 species
AGUGAACGCUGGCGGUAGGCCUAACACAUGCAAGUCGAACGGCAGCACAGUAAGAGCUUGCUCUUACGGGUGGCGAGUGGCGGACGGGUGAGGAAUACAUCGGAAUCUACUUUUUCGUGGGGGAUAACGUAGGGAAACUUACGCUAAUACCGCAUACGACCUACGGGUGAAAGCAGGGGAUCUUCGGACCUUGCGCGAUUGAAUGAGCCGAUGUCGGAUUAGCUAGUUGGCGGGGUAAAGGCCCACCAAGGCGACGAUCCGUAGCUGGUCUGAGAGGAUGAUCAGCCACACUGGAACUGAGACACGGUCCAGACUCCUACGGGAGGCAGCAGUGGGGAAUAUUGGACGAUGGGCGCAAGCCUGAUCCAGCCAUACCGCGUGGGUGAAGAAGGCCUUCGGGUUGUAAAGCCCUUUUGUUGGGAAAGAAAAGCAGCAGGUUAAUACCCCGCUGUUCUGACGGUACCCAAAGAAUAAGCACCGGCUAACUUCGU